rnacentral:rRNA from 1 species
UACGUAGGGUGCAAGCGUUGUCCGGAAUUAUUGGGCGUAAAGAGCUCGUAGGCGGUCUGUCGCGUCGGUUGUGAAAACUCGGGGCUCAACUCCGAGCUUGCAGUCGAUACGGGCAGGCUAGAGUUCGGCAGGGGAGACUGGAAUUCCUGGUGUAGCGGUGAAAUGCGCAGAUAUCAGGAGGAACACCGGUGGCGAAGGCGGGUCUCUGGGCCGAUACUGACGCUGAGGAGCGAAAGCGUGGGGAGCGAACAGG